ACAAAAUCAUGAUGACCACUCUUUAGUGGGUGUUUCUCAAGCCCCAUGAUAAUACUAGAAAGCCAUUGG
rnacentral:sRNA from 1 species